GUGUGUGUGGCGAGUGGAAAACAUUUACAGGAAGGUUACGGGCUUCGGAGAAGCGGGCCCUUUGUGCUGGGAUUGCUCUGGAUGGCCGGGCUUCCUACUGGGGAUUCUGAGCAUCUGAGCAAAGACUGCCCACUGGUGAUUAUGGGUGCUUUGCUUAAAUUUCUCAGCCCUCAGGCUCUUACUAAGGAUACCCCCACUGAUGAAGGCAUCCUUUGAAGAGUCAUCUUUGUAACAAUCAAAGAGGAGAAAUCAGACAGACCAGUGACCAGUGCAUUCUCAUGAAGUGCCUGUGAAGUGG